UCGUGUCAGGUGUGCAUAGUGCAGC
rnacentral:piRNA from 1 species